AUGCGUAGAGAUCUGAAGGAAUACCAGUGGCGAAGGCGGCCCCCUGGACAAAGACUGACGCUCAGAUGCGAAAGCGUGGGUAGCAAACAGGAUUAGAUACCCUGGUAGUCCACGCCGUAAACGCUGUCUACUUGGAGGUUGAGGUUUAGACUUUGGCUUUCGGCGCUAACGCAUUAAGUAGACCGCCUGGGGAGUACGGCCGCAAGGUUAAAACUCAAAUGAAUUGACGGGGGCCCGCACAAGCGGUGGAGCAUGUGGUUUAAUUCGAUGCAACGCGAAGAACCUUACCUACUCUUGACAUCCAGUGAACUUUCCAGAGAUGGAUUGGUGCCUUCGGGAACACUGAGACAGGUGCUGCAUGGCUGUCGUCAGCUCGUGUUGUGAAAUGUUGGGUUAAGUCCCGCAACGAGCGCAACCCUUAUCCUUGUUUGCCAGCACGUAAUGGUGGGAACUCCAGGGAGACUGCCGGUGAUAAACCGGAGGAAGGUGGGGACGACGUCAAGUCAUCAUGGCCCUUACGAGUAGGGCUACACACGUGCUACAAUGGCAGAUACAGAGGGCAGCGAAGCUGCGAAGUGGAGCGAAUCCCUUAAAGUCUGUCGUAGUCCGGAUUGGAGUCUGCAACUCGACUCCAUGAAGUCGGAAUCGC
rnacentral:rRNA from 1 species